UUAGCUCAAUGGUUGAGCGUUGGCUUUGAGAGCGACUGGUCGGUGGUUCGAACCCACCA
rnacentral:tRNA from 1 species